GUAAAUAAAGCAAAGUUAAGGAAAAUGGUGGAAGAAAUCUCUAAGAUAGUUUGCUCGAAUUGGACUAAUACUAAUGAACGUGAUAAAUAGAAAGAACAUUAUUUGAUCACUUAACUACAAAAAAAAAACUACAAAUCGUCAUUGUGUGAGUCUUGAAUUCUAGUAGCAAGCGGCUCUUGUUGAUAGUUUUGAAUAUCUCGACGUGUAUUGAUGAAGUUGAUCUGAUCUCGGAGCAUUUCUUCGUUUAACUUGGGGUUCAGAGUGCAUGCACCUUAACCUUGGUAUAGUUGUCUCGGCUGGUAUGAAAACUUUUAUCCCAUAGGUUAGAGAGAAUGGUUGAUUGCUUUAUGGGGUGUCAUGCAACAUGCCAAUAGUGCUCUUGGAAGUUUUGACGAGCAUGCAUUUUUCUUGGAAUGUAGGCGUCUCUUAGUGUUACUUAAUAUCUGCUUGCUCGCUUUCUUGGUCUGUCUGUUC
rnacentral:lncRNA from 1 species